rnacentral:rRNA from 2 species
AAACUUUCAACAACGGAUCUCUUGGUUCCGGCAUCGAUGAAGAACGCAGCGAAAUGCGAUAAUUAAUGUGAAUUGCAGAAUUCAGUGAAUCAUCGAGUCUUUGAACGCACAUUGCGCCCCCUGGUAUUCCGGGGGGCAUGCCUGUCCGAGCGUCAU